rnacentral:tRNA from 1 species
GGGGAUACAGCUCAGUUGGCAGAGUGUUUGCCUCAAAUGCACAAGGCCCUGGGUUCAAUCCCCAGCACCA